AGAAUAUGAGGUAUGAUUGUCAAUGAGACAAAAGACCAAAUGACACAGAAAUUAACAACUUUAGGUCACUGCAUUGCAAGUAUUGGUUUUUCUACAUAAAGAUCAAACAUGAUUUGAUGAUUUUUAAGGUAAAUAAUUUCCUCAUUCUUAUUUAAAAAAUACGGUAUGGACAAUGGUAUUAAUUAUUAUAAAGCAACAAAAUAAGGUAGGAAGAGAGGUUCUGAUUUGUCUUGGUCCAGAAAUGUCUACUGCCUUGCCAAACUGUCUAUUAAUCAUGUCUAUGAAAUAUGUCUCCUACGGUGCCCAACUGUCUAUUAAACUUGGAGCCGAAUCAUUUCCGAGCUGGUAACGAACUGUCUUUUAAAGUUACCUUAUCUAAAAAGCCCAUGGUUGAAUGGGAUCGGUAAGACUGGUUUCCGAGAAAAGUGUGCUUUUUACCUGUUAAAAGUACUUGACAAAGAACCAGUUUUAAAUUAUCGAUUGCAAGUCUGUCAGAGGGGUCUUGAGAAAUAAAAAGUUUCAAUUAGUUUCAGUUUAAAAAGGAAAGAUGUCAAACCAAUCUUCUUUUCUUGUUUUUUUGUUGAGAAUUAUACUUUGUUCAUCAAAGUUGGAUUAACAUUUAUUUUCUGCAGAAUGAUUCUACUUGUCCCAUCGGACAAGCUUGGUAUAGCUUUUACUUGUCCGACCUUUUUUACCUCUGUUACCGGACAAGCGUUAUUGUUCGAGGCCUGGAGAAAAUACAGAGAAUAUGAAAAAAUGAAAACGAGAAUUUGAUUGAUUGAUUGAUUGUUGGUUGUCUAACAUCCAGUGGCAAAUAUUUCAUGCAUAUUCAGGACGAACGAGAAUUUGAAAAGUCAUGCUUAACAUGCUUAACAGAUUUCCCCUGCCCUUGGCUCUCCAGUAAACAUGGUAAAGAAACUUCUGAAAUAAAUUUAAUCUUUGCACAAUUUGUAGAAAACACCAACAUCUUGCUAAUCAAAAGUAUAUACAAAUUAUUGCAAUGUAUUAAUUUGUUGUCAAUUUAAUAGAAAAAAGGGACACUUAAUCAUUUAUUAUAAAUACAUGUAUUAAUUAGUCAUUUCUUCACUUGUUUUAAAACUUAUAAAAUGUCAUGGAUCUAUAUAUCUAUACCAUGUAUACUGGCUAUCAUUCAAAAUACAUUGCAAAAUUGCCCUUCACAUGUCUUUUGGUUGUUUUGCUUUUCAUUUGCUUUUGGGUUUCUGUCUUAUUGAAGUUAAGACCAAAUAAUCUGUCUCUUGUAUGGGUACAUUUGUCAUUUCAUAUUUUCUUUUCAUCAUUUGGCUAUUUAUUUUUUUAUUUAUUUUUUGUGUGUGUGGAACAACCAUUUAACUUCAAAAGGGGGGGGGGGGCUUAUGUUUUUUUUUCCUAGAUCCCUAACUUAAUGAAAAAAAAAACAUUCUGUUCAAGCAGAUGACAAAAAAAAAUAUUCUGAAUCCAGAUUUUCCCCAUACCUUAGGCCUAAAAAAAAAAAUGUUGUGUUUCCGGUCACCCGACCGACCGUCCUUCAGACCCCCCGACUCAAAAGUUUUUAAAGCUGAUGUGGGAAAAAAAAUAAUUUGUUUACCUACCGACCGUUUUUUCUGAAAGAAAAUAAAAAAUCUAAGUCCCUCGAUCUUUUUAUCGCCCCAAAAGAAAACAACGCUAAUUUUAAACUUGAGGCUUAUUUUUAGAAUGUACUGGAAAGUGGAAUUUUCUUGGCUAAUUAUAUAUGCGGGAGCAUGCGCAGUAGUUAUUUUCGUUUGUCAGUGUUUGAACAUGGCAACACAACGCGUCCUAUUCAAUGUUCAACGCGGAAAGUGUGACCAUUUCGCGGAGAAAAAAAUAUUUCUAAAUUUUACAGAAAGUAACACCUUUUUUGACAUUAGCAAUGAAAUUCAUCCAAUGUCUAACAUCGAUGAAAAAAAAUACACAACACAAAUUUUGUGCUCGGCCACCGGCAAAAAUGACUGGACCGAGAUUGAUGACAAUAACACAACUGUUGGAACAAUGUAAUCUUUUAGAAUUAAAUUUAUCAAAUUUUCAUGCCAGACCCUUCUUCAAAAUGAACCUGAUAUUAAUCCAUCUGAAACUGGUCAGCCAAUCAACGCUUUAGACAUUCUGAUGAAAAGCCACAGAUGCUUUGCCAAAAGAAAGUGUCCUGCCAGGUACAGUGUAUAUAUAUGUAUAAUAUAUUUGUCUAUCUGUAGGUUUGGGAUGAUGUUUGGUUCAUGUUCCUAUAAAUGAAUCUGCCCCACAUCUUCUCAAGUUCUUUCUCUGACAAUCCCAAG
rnacentral:lncRNA from 1 species